AGCGGCAGGUUUAACACAUGCAAGUCGAGGGGCAGCAUGUCCAGCAAUGGAUGAUGGCGACCGGCGGAAGGGUGCGUAACGCGUGAGCAACAUGCCCUAUACAGGGAGAUACACCAGGGAAACUUGGUCUAAUAUCCCAUAGCAUUCAUUGAAGGCAUCUUUAAUGAAUUAAAGCUUCGGUGGUAUAGGAUUGGCUCGCGUGACAUUAGCCAGAUGGUGAGGUAACGGCUCACCAUAGCAAUGAUGUCUAGGGGUUUUGAGAGGAAGGCCCCCCACACUGGGACUGAGACACGGCCCAGACUCCUACGGGAGGCAGCAGUGAGGAAUAUUGGACAAUGGAUGGAAAUCUGAUCCAGCCAUGCCGCGUGCAGGAAGACGGCCUUAUGGGUUGUAAACUGCUUUUAUACGGGAGCAAUAAGGGUUACGAGUAAUCCGAUGAGAGUACUGUAUGAAUAAGGAUCGGCUAACUCCGUGCCAGCAGCCGCGGUAAUACGGAGGAUCCGAGCGUUAUCCGGAAUUAUUGGGUUUAAAGGGUGCGUAGGCGGCCAUUUAAGUCAGCGGUGAAAUUUUGCAGCUUAACUGUAACAGUGCCGUUGAUACUGUUUGGCUAGGAUUUGGUUGUAGUGUGCGGAAUGUGUGGUGUAGCGGUGAAAUGCUUAGAUAUCACACAGAACACCGAUUGCGAAGGCAGCACACUAAGUCAUUAUUGACGCUGAGGCACGAAAGCGUGGGGAUCAAACAGGAUUAGAUACCCUGGUAGUCCACACUGUAAACGAUGAUAACUCGCUGUCGGCGAUACACAGUCGGGGCCAAGCGAAAGC
rnacentral:rRNA from 1 species